CCUUUUUGAGUUAUUGUCCGAAGUGUUGAAAAUCCCCCCUUUUUUAUGAAUAAAGCCCCAUAAAUCCAAAACUUAAAAUCUGAAAUUAAAAAAAAAACGAAAGGGAGCUUACGUCAAUAGAUAUAAACAAUUCACUGAAGUUUCAUGGAAAUUGGUGAAAGUGUUUUUGAGUUAUUGUCCGAAGUGUGGACGACGGACGGACGGACGGACGGACGGACAGACGGACGGACGGAC
rnacentral:lncRNA from 1 species